ensembl:misc_RNA Metazoa_SRP Metazoan signal recognition particle RNA
GCUGGGCAUAGUGGUGCAUGCCUGUAAUCCCAGCUACUUGGGAGGCUGAGGCAGAAGAAUGGCUUGAACCCAGGAGGUGAAGGUUGCAGUGAGCCAAGAUCACGCCACUGCACUCCAGCCUGGGUGACAAAGCAAGACUCCGUCUCAA